CGCUCUGCACUAUCGUGAAUGUGUUUCCAUAGUGUAUGACCAGAUUAUCAGAGGUUUUUGGGACCCACUCUCGUACACACAUAGGCUUUGAGCCGUGUACUAGGGUGAUUAGCCUUUGGGGCAACUCUGCGUACGUAUGACCAGAUUAUCAGCUAUCAGAUUAUCAGAUUUGAAUGGCUUUGCCUUAUACAUCGAGAUUACUCUGUACAUGUGUAAGGCUAUUCAUUGGAUACUCUUUAUGGUGUGAUUUUUCAGUACUUAUUUAGUUCUCAGAUUUCAGAUUAUGGAAUUUAGUUAAUUCAGUUUUCAGAAUAAAGCUUUCAGCUUCUAGUAUUGAGCAGCAGCAAUAUUUCAUAGAUUUUCAUGAAUAUCAGAUUCUUUAUAAUUGUUAUACCUUACAGAUGCUUAUCUAGAAUUUAGAACAAAGAAUUUUAUGAUGAAAUUAUGUUUAGUUUUAAAAGUGUUACCAGAUUUCAGAAUUUCUCAAAGUUUUGAUAGAGCAAGAAUUUUCAGAAUAUAUGCAUAAAAAAAAAUAUGUUUAUUUGUAAAUUAUCCACUCACAUAACUUUAAGCUCAUAUAUUUUUUCACCUUUUUCUUUAUCAGACAGAAAACAGACAAAUUGAGCAGCUUUGGAGCAUGUCGAACUACCGAAUUGAGCCACGCAUCAUAAGUUGUAUGACAUCUUUUAUCAGAUUAUACAUUGUGUUCUUUUGGGAUACACAUAGGUUAAAUCAGAAAAGUUCAUUAUGGGCUCAUUAGACAUUUGGUAUCUUUAGUACUUUUAAAGAUUAUUGGUUGUAAAGCAAGUAAAUAUUGAUUUCCUAGCAUUUUAUUUGAAUAGUUUGUAUUUUUGAGGGACUCGCAUAUCCUGAUUUAUAUUAUAGGUAUUGAUUUGAGGAAAAUUAGUUAUUGUUCAGGUGGUUUUAGUUCGUAUUUUAGAGGAAAUUCUGUCAAAAUUUUGUUAAAAAUAUUUUUCAGUCAAGCAAGUCAAAGUUGCCUUGGUUGUGGGUCCGGCAUUUAACUGGCAUCUACCAUCGGUGCACGACACGUGUCGAGUCAAUUAGGUUGAGUCAGGUCGGGUCAUAUCAGUUAUCAUUCCGCGUGUUAAUAUAAAAUACAAACAUAUACUGUGGAUUAAUUAGGGUUGCUUACUGCUGAUGUCUUCCAUGAAAAUUUCUAGGUUUAUUUGGAGAGACUUUCGUGGAAACCAGAAAUUGAUGCUUUUGUUGAAGAAUUGAAACCACGUCAGGUUGCCUUCUGUCUUACUUUAAAGAUUUACACGAUCUUAGCUUUUGUUUAUAUGAUAUGUUCUAAUUGUUUGGUUUGUCAUUUGACUAUAUGACUAUCUGGUACAAUGGAGAGGAUAUGAAUUUUGAUGGUCAUGUUGACAGUUUGUCGCUCGAAGUUGCAUUACAUGAUAAGCAUUUGGAGCCAAAUCAAGCACAUUUAGGCCAUGUAGCGAUGUCGUUAAAGAGGUAGUUAAGUCGAGGACAAACCAAGUUUUAUCAUAGAUAUGGGAAUUUUUGGUAAUAUUAUGUGCCUUAUAAUAUUCAAAUCUGCACCUGAAUGCAUGGCGGGUGUUAGUUUUGUCCAACAUGUCCUUUGUUAACCAUUUAAGUUGUUUGAGAACUUGAUGUAUGUUUAA
rnacentral:lncRNA from 1 species